UCCGGUGGUUUUGUCGAGAGAGAAACACCCGUUCCCAUCCCGAACACGGAAGUUAAGCCUCUCGGAGCCGAUGAUACUGCGCGGGAAGCUGCGUGGGAAAGUAGGACGCCGCCGGAU
rnacentral:rRNA from 1 species